rnacentral:hammerhead_ribozyme from 1 species
GUACUGCUGAGAAGUCCCAUACUAGGACGAAACAACUGUCUAGUAC